rfam:Dipodomys ordii contig_62285, whole genome shotgun sequence.
ACCACUGAGCCACCUUCCCAGCCCCUUAUUCCUUCUUUUAAAAGAAAAAGUUCCGGGCUGGGAAGGUGGCUCAGUGGU